AACGAAGGGGAUCAAAGAGGGAAGACGUGGGAUGAGAUGUCUCACUGCUGCGUCACCCCGCUUCGUUUUGCUCCUGUUCGGUUUACCUCCACCCAGAGUUUACAGUUUAAUGCCACUUUCAAGAAACCAAGUUAGAUGUGACACACGAGGAAACGCGGCAAAGGAAGAUUUUUGUAACGAUUGGAAUCCUAUUUUAGAGCAUCCCACAGAGCCAUUUGCAUGUGCGCUGACGAGCUCAUCUCCAAGGAGUUUCAGAGAAGUAUUAUUGGCUUCCUCUUGGUUCUUUCAGCGCUUGUGACUGACAGAUGAGGCGCUGAGUUACCCUCAGCUCUGAAACUCAUCAUCAGCCCGAUAGCAGAUGAGAUCAAUGACAAGACAGGCCUGCUGGAGACCAAGAAGUAAGAAAUGAGACUGAGAUUCACAGAGACUGUUUUGGUUCCAAAAGCUGCAGGAUUGAUCAUCAACGUGGUGAAAAAAGGCUGCCUGUGGCAUGAGCCUGAAACAUGAGAUCCACCAGUGUGGUUAACAGUUUGAAAAAAGCUCUCUUCCCUAAAAUACUGCCUUCAUUUUUCUCCGGAGUUACAUACUUUUCUAGCAGCAACAGCAGCAGCGCAUGCUGUUGUCAAUUAGCUCAGUUACAAGCCAUUUAGCUGUCAGUACGGUUUUAGGACGGCUCUGCAGGAGGUAUAGCUGAAAGCCACUGGCUGGAAACGGAAAUAAAAGCUAAAAAAAAAAAAAAAAAAAAAACUCAAAUAAUCUAAAGAUUCAAAUAGAGAACUUAUUACAACAUAUUUUUCAUGAAAUUAGUAAAACACAUUUAACUGUUUACCUGCAACUUUCUGAUGUGAAACUUGUUCAGUUUUGAAGUAUAAAAACUAAAAUACUCCAAAUUAAACUGCCCAAAAGUUCUGUAAAAAAUGUUAUGUCAGCUACAGAACCCAAAGAAAUUGACAAAAGGGGAAAGAUGCCUAAAAAAAACCCCAUAAAAAUGUGAAAUGAUUGCUGGAGUUGAUGCAUUCUGGUCUGUAAUAUGAUUAGCCAUAAAAUUAAUGUCUUUCAGGCUUUGAGAUGGGUAGAGGUUCUCCAACCUGUAAAAUAUGCGAAAAGAAAUGUGUGAAACUGUAGAAACCCAUUCUCUCAUCAUCAAAUCACAAAGACCUUGCAAAUGUCAGGAAAAUAAACUGUUUCAAAUGUGUCCAGACUGCAGAGAAGGGACAACUUAUGGGGUGUUGCCAGAAUGGAGUUCAAAAGUAUUUUUGAUGGUAUGGAGGUCUGUGAGGCUGCAAAAGAAAGACAGCUUGCAUUGUCUCCAAAGAUCUGUAAAUACAGAAAACUAUAGUUUUAGAGUACAUGUUCCCCUCUGGAUAAUGUCUGUUUCAGGGAAAGCCUUGUGUAUUUAAUGGGAUUUUCCAAAUGUUUGGCUGGCAGAAAUGUUUUUCUAUACUCCAGUUUCAUCUGCUAAUUUUCUGGGCUUAUUGAAACUGUGUAUUUUCUACCAUUAUUAUUAUUAUUAUUAUUUUGAGAUAUGAUCUGUAAACCCAUCACAGCUUUAAUUAAAUAUACGGAGAAGGUUUGAAUCAUA